rnacentral:pre_miRNA from 1 species
CAGCCUCAGAUCUCAGGGAGCAGAAUCUGGGCACCUCCACCAUGGCCUGGACCCCUCUCCUCCUUGGCCUCCUUGCUCACUGUGCAGGUGC